ACUUCCUUCUCCAGGGCUUCGCUGAACUCUGCACAGACCUCAAUUACAACCCUUAUAAAGCUGGGUUGUGGUCGGGUGCGGUGGCUCAUGCCUGUAAUCCCAGCACUUGGGAGACUGAGGCAUGUGAGUCGCCUGAACCCGGGAGGCAGAGGUUGAAGUGAGCCGAGAUCGUGCCACUGCACUCCAGCCUGGGCGACAGAGCGAGACUCCGUCUCAAAAGUAAGUAAGUAAAUAAAUAAAUAAUAAAGCUAGGUUGUAAUUCCUUAAUUACUGAUCAGACUUUUUUCACUAGACUGUGGGUGUCACAUGUGGGUCUGAGUCAUCUCUGUGUCCUCAGAGCCAAGAAGUGGGGAGGUGCUUAAUGAAGUUACUGAAUGCUCCAGAAAUAUGUUCCCGUCACUGAGUGCUCCAAAGAGGCAUUCACCUGUCUCCUCUUCCCUGAUCAUCCCUCGGGGCUACCUGGAGUGCCUGCCAGAUCAGAGUUUGAGAGAUCUGCCCUGGCAGUCGCCUGACUAGGCCUACAUAUCUUCCCGUGUCUGGCCAGCCUUCCAGAGAGCAGUCUGUCCCUCUCUCCGACUCCAGCCGGCCAGGCCUGGUUCUCACAUUGUCAAAAAUAAAAGGAGUUAAAAGAAGCCAAGCGAUUAGGCAAGAAAAGGAAAUGAAGGCAUCCAGACUUGAAGGAAAGAAGUGAAACUAUUUGAAGAUAACAUGGUCUUGUUUGUAGAAAAUCCUGGGGAAUCUACAAGAAAAUUUUUAGAACUCACAAAUGAGUUCCAGGGGCCCAAGUCCUCAGUUUGGCUUUGAAGGGGUCCCUUGGUCUCCUGGCCCUGCUCCCCCUUUCCUGUGGCACUUCCCAGCACUCCUCCUGUGAGUGGCUCUUAGCAGCCGCAGUGGAGCAUCCACUUUGACGUUGCCUACUUUCCCCUCUCUUCUCCCUGCCUGGGUAGAGCCUUUGAAGAGCUUCUGUCUCAUCUUCACCUCAUCCCUAAAGUCCUUAAAUAAGGGGCAUAUUUAUCGAGGAUAAGAAUUGGACCUGUGUUAUCUCAUUCAAUCCCCACAGCAACCUUUGGAAGUGGGAACUGUAAUUAUCACCCCCAUUUUUCAGAUGAGGCUCUGGGAACCUAUGCCCCUGGUCCAACCUCACAGUUAUGAGGCCCACUGGGCUUGAAAGCAAGGGCUGCCUGACUCCAACAUCCAAUUUCUUUUUUUUUUUUUUUUUGAGAUGGAGUCUCGCUCAGUCGCCCAGGCUGGAGUGCAGUGGCGCAUACUCGGCUCGCUGCAAGCUCCGCCUCCUGGGUUCACGCCAUUCUCCUGCCUCAGCCUCCCGAGUAGCUGGGACUACAGGUGCCCACCACCAUGCUCGGCUAAUUUUUUUUGUAUUUUUUAGUAGAGACCGGGUUUCACCGUGUUAGCCAGGAUGGUCUCGAUAUCCUGAACUCAUGAUCCGCCUGCCGCGGCCUCCCAAAGUGCUGGGAUUACAGGCGUGAGCCACCGCGCCCGGCCCUCCAACAUCCAAUUUCUUAACCCGAAAUUUGGAAAGAGAAGUGAGGCCCUAUUCUAAUGCUUCCUCCCCUAGCUAGAUGUAUCUCUUCUUUCCCUGACCCAGACUCCAAGGCUGAUAAGCUAUCAGUGUGUAGAGCUGACUCUGUACUGUGAUCAUUUAUGCAGAGCUUUUCUCUCCCCUGUUUGGCUGGAAGAUCCAUGGGAGCAGAGGCCACGUCUUAUUCAGCCUCACAUGCUAGAACUGCUUGGCACAUGGUAGGCAUGCACAUUGCACGGCUUCAGAAAGAGUGAAAUGAGAUGGUUGAGGCACAAUACACUAAAGAGAACAAAUGUGUGUUCUCUUUUGCAUGCACAGGAGAGAUGGCCUCAAUCAUAUUUGGGGUGUCAGGAUGAUGUGGCUGGAACAUGUCAUGGGGAAAGGCCAUCCUCCUCCUUGCUGACAGUGCCCUCUGUGUCCCCUCAAGGCUGCGGAAGAGUCAUCCUGGAGAGAAGGGCCCAGUCUUCAGGGCAAGGAUUUGUGUGCUCAUCUUUGUUUACUGUGUGUUUGGCACAGUAGAAAAUAUUUGUUGAAUGAAUUUGCUGUGUGACGCUGAACCCUUCUCUCAACUUCUCCAGGCCUCCUCUGUUAAACAAGGGGGUUGCUCAAGAUUAGGGAUUUUUCAAACAUUUCCCUUUCCCCCUUUUCUUGGUAGCGCAACUACUGGUUUAUGUAACAAUUUAUAUAAGACAGAAGCAGCUUGCUGCUGUAGCUGGAGUGGAGUGGGGGAACCCAGAGCCCUGUCUACUUGACUCCCCCUCUUUGCCCCACACUCCCCAGAGGCCCCUCAGAGCAGCUAGAGAACAGUCAAGCUGGAGGAACUCUAAAGGGUGUUGAAAUUCGGAGAGCUCUGUAAGGAGCGUCCACAUUUUUUUUUUUUGAGAUGGAGUCUCGCUCUGUCGCCCAGGCUGGAGCGCAGUGGCGCCAUCUCUGCUCACUGCAAGCUCCGCCUCCUGGGUUCACACCAUGCUCCUGCCUCAGCCUCUCGAGUGGCUGGGACUACAGGCGCCCGCCACCACCCCCGGCUGAUUUUUUUUUUUUGUAUUUUUAGUAGAGAUGGGGUUUCACCAUGUUAGCCAGGAUGGUCUCGAUCUCCUAACCUUGUGGUCCACCUGCCUCAGUCUCCCAAAGUGCUGGGAUUACAGGCAUGAGCCACUGUGCCUGGACUUUUUUUUUUUUUUUUUUUUUUUUUUUUGAGACGAAGUCUCGCUUUGUCGCCAGGCUGGAGUGUGAUGGUGCGAUCUCGACUCACUGCAACCUCUGCCUCCUGGAUUCAAGCGAUUCUCCUGCCGCAGCUUCCUGAGUAGCUGGGACUACAGGCACGCGCCACCAUGCCCAGCUAAUUUUUGUAUUUUUAGUAGAGGUGGGGUUUCACCAUGUUGGCCAGGAUAGUCUUGAUCUCUUGACCUCAUGAUCCGCCUGCCUUGGCCUCCCAAAGUGCUAGGAUUACAGGCGUGAGCCACCGCGCCCGGCUGGAGCGUCUGCAUUUUAAAAGAGUGGCUCUGAAAAGAGAAAAUCCUUUACCACACAUUUGGACAACUAUUAUUUAAUGCGCUUGAAUGGUGGAAUGUAAGGGCCUUGAUUAGGAGUGGGAGGGUGUAGUGUUGUCUUAGGAUGGAGAGUUUAUGUUUCCCAGGACCUCUAAACGCCCCCUGGGUCUAGGGGGCCACUAGUUCUGCCUUACUAUUUGUGCAAGUGGGCCCUGACGCACAGCUCGCCAGCAGACACUCGGCCGCUGUACUUUCCCGUCAGCCUGCCAUCUUCUUCUUCUCAGUGGCUAUCUGCUUCACUCCUGCUUUUCUCCAUUGAUUUUUCCCUCCUCUUGUUUUCCAGAACUCACAAAAACCUCCACUGGUUCUAAGCAUUUUACAUAGUGCUGUGAACUUGCUGGAGGAAGUGGAAUAAAUGGAUGCGUGAUAGGCAAAUCGCCCUAGAUUUUGGUAUUUGAGUUAAAAUUCCACACAACACCUGGGAUAUAUAAUCACACAGAAACCACUUAGCUUCUUGUGAAAACAAUCACAGAGUCUAGGAAAUGGAAAAAUAAUCAUAGUUUUCAUAAAUUGUUCCCAUGAGGACCUGCUCAAUGCUGGGAAGUUCCAGCUGUGCACACUUCCAGCUGUGGCUGCACCCACCCUCACUCCCACCCCGUCCUGUGCCUCCUGCCACCUUGCUAUUUACCCAGUUCCUGACUGUGGGUGUUCAAGAGAGCUAUUAAGUGACUACUGGUAUCUAGCCGAGAUGCUCCCCUGUACAAUCUGAACAACUACACCAUCACUGGAAUAAAGGAUUACUGGACACUUUUAAAGAGAAACUGAUAUACUCAUGUUCAUAGCAGCAUUAUUCACAAUAACCAGAAGGUGGAAGCAACCCACAUGUCCAUCAGCAGAUGAAUGGGGAAACAGAAUGUGGUCCUCACAUACCAUGGAAUAUUUUUAAGCCUUAAAAAAGGAAGGGCAUCUGGCACGUGGUAUCACCUGGAUGAACCUUGAGGACAUUCUGCUAAGUAAAAUAUGCCAAUCAGAGAAAGAGAAAUACUGCAUGAUUCCACUUAUAUAAAGUCCCUAGAGCCAUCAAAUUCAUAGAGAUAAAAAGUGGAAUGGUGGCUGCCGGGGGCUGCGGGAAGGAGGAAAGGGGAGUUAGUGUUUAAUGGGUACAGAAUUUCAGUUUUGCAAAGUGAAGAGUUCUGGAGGUGGAUGGUGGUGAUGGGUGGUGAUGGGCACAUGAUUGCAUGGUUGUGAAUGUAGUUAGUGUCACUGAACCGUGCAUAUAAAAUGGUUAAACUCGUAAGUAUUAUGGAUAUAUAUAUAUACAUUUUUUUUUUUUUGAGAUGGAGUCUCGCUCCGUUGCCCAGGCUGGAGUGCAAUGGCGUGAUCUCGGCUCACUGCAACCUCUGCCUCCUGGGUUCAAGCGAUUCUCCUGCCUCAGCCUCCCAAGUAGCUGGGAUUACAGGUGCAUGCUGCCAUGGCCGGCUAAUUUUUUUUGUAUUUUAGUAGAGACAGGGUUUCACCGUGUUGCCCAGGCUGGUCUUAAACUCCUGAGCCCAGGCAAUCCACCCACCUCGGCCUCCCAAAGUGCUAGGAUUAUAGGCAUGAGCCACUGCACCUGGCCCCGUGUUACAGAUAUUUUACCACAAUUAAAAAUAAAUAAAUAAAUGAGAAACUAAACAGCUCCUUAAAGCACUUUGACAAGGUCUAACAUUAAAGGAUUUGUCAACUUAAGGGCAUCUUAAGAAGAAAUCCUCCUGGGAAUUCAUGGUAGACUGAAUGGAGGUGUCUUGUGGUAGACAGCAUUGAUUGAGUUGUUACACUUUAAACCAAAUUUUCUUAUAAACUCAUAUUCCCACGCCCAGAUACUUUGGGGGUAGUGACUCCAGAGAGUCUAUUUAACAUUGAACUUGAUUUCUCCUUCUCAUCUCAGUUAAAGAAUUGGGGAUUCGUCUCUUUUAUGCCCCUGGGGAAGCAGGAUUCUGAAUAAAACUGACUGUCUCUGUGAUUGGUUUUCUUUUUUUGUUAUUGACAUAGAACAAUCAUAAAAUCAUGAAAUGCAGCAAAAUAAUGUGUACAUUAUUAUUUUACUUAUAUAAAACAGAGAAAUGCAGGGGGAAAAAGUGAAUCUUUGAGAGGUAGGCCACCCUUCCCUGGGGUUGCUAUAAUGAACCUCAACUUGUCUGUUCUUUAAGUUCAGCGCAGCCCGAUAAAGGAGGGCAAACAAGGUUUACAAGAGGCAGCCCAACAAGAAGGGUAAAACCAGCAUGAUCUUCCCUGCACAGGAUGACGGAAACCAAUUUACCGUCUCAGCUGUGUGUCUAAGGUGCAUUUUCACCUGCCGGUGUGCAUGGGCAGCCCUGCAGCUCCACACCGCCUCUUGCUAGUUGCCUGCUGGAGUGGCUGCAGGCUCUGCACUGGGUUGUAGGAAACCCAAGCACCGGCAGCCUCAUUCCUAAGCCCCUUGCAUACCAACAAACAGGACACUGCACCUCAGCAGUACUGUUCUCACAGAGGACAGGGAUUCUCAGGACAGUGAUGAGGUAACCGGCCUCAGAGACAGGCGGCUUUACCAAGACUAUACAGCAAGUCAGGGUUGGAGCUGACAGUGGCACUUGGGGUUUCUUAGACCCAGGUCCAAUUCUUUUUGGAACGAAACAACUAACAUAUAUAGCAGUUACCCCAGGCCAGGCGUGGUGUUAGGGGAUUGAUAGGUAUUGUUUUAUUAAAGUCCCACCACAAUGCUAGGAGGUAAUUACUAUUACAAUUACUUUUCCAGAUUACUAAUUGAGUCUUAGAGAGCUUAAGUAAUUUGCCAAAAGUCACGGAGCUAACAAAAGGCAGAAUCUGGAUUUUAACCUUGGUCUGCGUGACUACUCUGUUUGUAGCCAAUACUUCCUUCCUUUUUCAGAAAAAUUUAUUGUAAAAAAA
rnacentral:lncRNA from 10 species